GCAACGAAGUUUCUGAAGAUCAGAUGGUAGAUCCUUAGAUAGCCUUGAGUCAAGACCUCGUAAAAGAAGAACUCCAUCCCUUCUCAGCUUUCUGGUGUAAUGUGACCGUAUCCAUUGAGGGGAAGCAUGAAGAGGGGUCCGUUUCUCCUCUACUGGCCUUGUCAUCACGUGUGUAGAUGGAAGUGAUGAAACAAUUCGAACGUCAUUCCCCAAAACGUUUUUGAAAUGAUCCAAGUUGAAAAUAUCAGAAAACUCACUUUCAUCAGCCCAAAUAGGAUUGACUUGAAAAAUGGGAACAACCAAAGCAGCCUCAAGAAUUCUAGCAAUGACAACAGCAUCAACAAUUUGAUUUCUCUGCUGAUUCAUUCCCCCAGAAACCACAACCA
rnacentral:misc_RNA from 1 species